GUGAAAACACGUCAAUACACUACGAAAAGUUUACUAACAAUGAUUCAACAACUUGACAGUACAAAUAACAUGUCUGCCAGCUGUCAAACAAAAAAAUUUCGGGGUGUCUCAACCUACGUGCCAUCUCAACCUACGUGACUCUCCCCUAUAUUAUUUUAGCCAGUCAGUCAAAAGAAGAUGUGUACAGUUUUUCGCUGCGAAGAACCACAAAACAGCGUUAGAAUUGCAAAAGGAUUGAAAUUUUAAGAUACACACUCACCAAGGCACAACGAAUACUGUCACUACGCAAUAGUGCAAACAAUACGUUCGAUUGUUUUCCAAUUCGAGCAAAUCAACAUACCGUUACCGGCUUAUUAUACCGGAUGUAUAUUCGAAUGUCCGCACAUGUGAAAGUCGAAACUUGGGACUAGGUUUAAAUAAUUGUACCAAAAAUGUACUUAAUUGUACCGCAAUUUAUUUUUAAUUAUACCUUACUCGUUUGGCUAAUAUUUGAGGUUCAAAUUUCGGGGCACUUCAAUUUGCCGGUCAACUAGCCAAAAUAAAACUCAAAGAUAUUUUUUAAAUUUUUAUGGCUGAUAAUAAUUGUACCUAAAAUGUACCUUCAAAAUAACAUCAUCAUAAAGUCAUUACUUCGAUGGUGUUCUUCUGCAGAGCAUGUCCUUCAAAAUUCACGGGGGAUUUCCCGAAAAAAUGGCAAGAAUGAAUCGAAAAAAAAGUUUUGUUCAAAGUGUGCUCACUACACACAUUUUUUUUAGCAUCGAACGCUCGCCUUUUCUGAAGGUUUUUUCCGUUCGUUAGCAAAUUACAGUAAUUUUGUGUUUUAGGUUUUGAAAUCGGUCAAAGCCAGUGUAAAACGGGAGACCAAUUUUUAAUUGCGCACGAAUUCAACGGAAAAAAAAACAAAAUCAAAUUCAAAUUAUGUAGGUAUAUGAAAUGAAAUAUGUUUUUAAAUUAAAAAUUAAAAAAAGAUAAUGCGACCACGUAGAAAAUCAGUAGUCAUAGCACGAAAACAAAUUCGUGAAUCAUUAAGAGGCCUGGGAAUCUCUCUCCGAGAUGACAGCGAUGAUAGCGCAUCAAAUAGUUCAUCAAAUCGUUCGCCCAGUCGUUCGCCGAGUAAUUCGCCAGCUGCAAAACGACCACGAAUAGAAGUGGUGUGGUUCCAGCUCAAGCUCAAGCUCAAAGCCAAGCAUCAGAAUCAGUUAAUUCGACAAUGAGACCAAAUGAACAAACGAGACAACGUCGCCGAAAGGCAAAUCGUACGGGAUUUGAUCGACCAAAGAGAAGGAGACCACAACAAAAUCGGCCAACAAAUACUUCAACAAGUAUUUCUGGACAAACACAAAAUUCUGUGAAUUUGCUCGAUUGUGUCGUACGUUUAGAUGCAUCAGCAUGUGAUGCUUUCAUAAAUCAAAUGUAAAACGCCAUAUGACAUGUACAUUUGACAUCUUUCUAAUAUGUUCUAGUUUUUCUAGUAUCGUGUUCGUGGGUAACCCCAAGUAAUUAACGGCAUAUUUUUGUGUAAAUUUGGUUGAAAAUGUGAUUUAUUUGAUUUAUAACAACAACAGCAGCCCAUCCAAAUGGGCAUGGUAAAUCAAAUGGGUGGCCAAAUGACUCGAUCACCAAGUCCAUUACCAUCCACAUUAACAUCAAAUGUGAAUCAAGUGCCACUGAAUGCACCAAAUGCCAAUCCACAGCCAUCCACAUCGACAGCGGCAGUGGCAGCCGCAUCAACAUCAGCAGCUACAACGACAACGACAAAAAAGCCAUUGAAACGCCAAAAUGAAAUGAGAGCAAAACGAGGUGAAACAAAGAAUAAAAACCUGAAACUGAAUCAAUUUUUGCGCGAUGAAAAAGUUUUCCCAGACAAACAACGCCUGAGUGAUUUAAUUGAAAGAGUUGUGGUCAAUUCCUCAAAAAUGUUCAAAUUGGCAUCGCUUUAUGUGCUCUUCAUAUUGAAUCGGUUGGUUGACAAUGGUUCCGAUGUCGAAAUCCGUUGUAAAUUUUUGGCCAAAUUCAAUGCAAACAAAUAUUUUAGAGAACGACAUCGAAACCAAAUUGGAUUUCGAAAAUGUCGACCAAAUAUUGAAAUUUGCGAUCGAACAAUACGUUCGAAAUGCGCAAUUAAUCGUGAAAAUGCACAUGAGACGAUACAUGCGAAAAUAUUUCAAGAAUUUGGGUGCAAAAAACUUCACUAUGAUAUACACUGAAAAAUUCACAAAUUUCACAAAUCAUAUAAAAAUCACAAAAAAUCGAAAAUUUUAUAUGGGAAAUGUGUUUCACUUUGAUCCAAAUUACUUCAAACUUUUCAGGAUCUUAUUUUUUGGUAAAAAAAAAAUCUUUGCAAAGUUUCACGUUUUUACUUCAUCAUACAGACAUAGUUCCCAUACAAAAAUCCAAUUUUUUGGGGAUUUUAAUAUGAAGUUUUGAGAUUUUUAUAUAAGUGGAAAAAAAGUGAUUAAGUUACUAUUGACUAUAAGUAACUAUAGUUAGCUGACUGGUUUUACAGUCAAUAGUCCUGGGUUUGACACAGAAAGGAAAGGUAUUUAUUUUUCAAAACAGUUAUCAUAGUCGUGUAUCUAUGACCAUCCUACAGAGAUUAUGGGGGUACGAUUUUUGAUUCUCGUAAAAAUAUCAAAAUUGAACCACUCUAAUGUAAUUUUAUUUAUGCAGAAAACAAUAAAUAUGUGUAUUUAAGUGCA